rnacentral:rRNA from 1 species
AGUGAACGCUGGCGGUAGGCCUAACACAUGCAAGUCGAACGGCAGCACAGUAAGAGCUUGCUCUUACGGGUGGCGAGUGGCGGACGGGUGAGGAAUACAUCGGAAUCUACUUUUUCGUGGGGGCUAACGUAGGGAAACUUACGCUAAUACCGCAUACGACCUACGGGUGAAAGCAGGGGAUCUUCGGACCUUGCGCGAUUGAAUGAGCCGAUGUCGGAUUAGCUAGUUGGCGGGGUAAAGGCCCACCAAGGCGACGAUCCGUAGCUGGUCUGAGAGGAUGAUCAGCCACACUGGAAGUGAGACACGGUCCAGACUCCUAAGGGAGGCAGCAGUGGGGAAUAUUGGACAAUGGGCGCAAGCCUGAUCCAGCCAUACCGCGUGGGUGAAGAAGGCCUUCGGGUUGUAAAGCCCUUUCGUUGGGAAAGAAAAGCAGCAGGUUAAUACCCAGCUGUUCUGACGGUACCCAAAGAAUAAGCACCGGCUAACUUCGUG